rnacentral:rRNA from 1 species
UACGUAGGGGCAAGCGUUGUCCGGAUUUAUUGGGCGUAAAGAGCGUGUAGGCGGCUAGAUAGGUCCGUUGUGAAAACUCGAGGCUCAACCUCGAGACGUCGAUGGAAACCAUCUGGCUAGAGUCCGGAAGAGGAGGAGUGGAAUUCCUGGUGUAGCGGUGAAAUGCGCAGAUAUCAGGAAGAACACCCGUGGCGAAGGCGGCUC